AGCAGUCAAGUUGUGUUUGAAAUUUGAUUUUUUUCAGAGGCAAAAGAAAGCCUCUGCAUUCUUGUCAAAUAUGUAAAUAGCAUGUGUUUGCAGGUGCUAAAAAACAGACUCUGAGUGUGUGUGCGUGUGUGUGUGUAUGUCUGUGUGUGUGUGUAUCCUGCAGUACUCUGAGAAGAAUAAUAAGCAUAUUUCUGAGGUGAAUUUUGAAGAUUCAUCUGAGAGUUAGGUUUGAUUCGAUUCGAUUGAAGCUCCCCAGCGUUCAAGUCACAUGACAUAUUUAACCGGAUGUAGCUGCAAGACGGAGCCUCGUUGAUUCUCCGUUUCAACCUAUCUUAAAAGUGAGGACCUCAAACUAUAUACCAGUUUUUAAAUUGUGUUGAUAGGCCAAAUAAAACCAGAGUUAUGAUAAAUUAUGUCCGCAAUACUUUUUUUCUGCUUAUUUUGAUCACGUUCGGCGCUCGAUCGCGCUGUAUGAGACAGGAAAACAUAGCAUGCAGACAUUAGCGACAGGUCUUACAGGCGGAAAAGACUUGCCAAAAGAAAAGAAAAAAACACACCACAACAUCUCUCCUAUUGGUGGAAAACUUCACCACAACAACCAAUCCAAAAUUAUAUGGUGACUGAUUGACACGGGAUGGGCGCUCGCGUUCUUCCUGCAACUUGAGAAGGGAGGGAGGGACUCUCAGCAGGGAUGCAGUCUGGGACACGUAGUUUCAAACCUAGCGACUUUGUUGUUAGAUUCAAUGACUUUUCAGACCCCCUAAUGACUUUUUUUUAGAAAGAAAGGGACUUUUAUCGACUUCUUCUGGAUUUCUGGAGUUUAGAGACUCUGACAUGAAGCAGGCUUUCCUUAUUGAGGAGUUAGCAACGCUGCUAAGGGUGCAGAGCCACACAUGCGCUCCGAGCUCUGCAUGGGAGACUGAAGCUGACAGAGCUGCAGCAGUUAGCAGGUUUCACCCUCAGAGACCACCAGGGGUUCAUGUUGAGGCAUUUUCAGUUUUUUUUUUUUUUUUUUUGCCAUAGACACUGUCAGCACAAUCUGCAGUUACACUAACAAAAAUGCUGCAAAAAACAAAGAAUUAUGGAAAAAUUACACAUGGACUAACAUAGAGGAGGAUCUACACAAGUUUUUUACAUCAUGUUUUACAUCAUGCAUCAUUUACAUCAUGUUUUUUUGUAGUGGCAUAAAUAAAAAGUGAGAUUUGUGAGACUAUACAGUGUUUUGUAAAUAAUUUUACAAAGAACGCCUGGGCCAUUGCCUGCAUUUUGAUGUAAAUAGAGGUAAAUUACUAUGUUCUUUGUUAAAAAUUUGCAUAUGUUUUGAAGUUUACAAUUUUUAUUUGAAGUUUAAGUUUUAAAAACAGUUCAUCACACAUAUUUGUGGUUUUCACAGUAAAAACGUUACUUUUUUCCACUCGGAUUUUAUGUUUUGUGUGUGAAUUUGGGUCCAAUGUUUAAAUAUAGUAUGUCAAAAUGAUAAAAUAACUGUAAAUUGACACAGGUGAGGUUGUGCUGAAAAAAAUGAUACCAGGCAAGGCAAGGUAAAAAUUUUGUAAGAGGAAAUAUAAAGGUAAAAUCUAAAGUAGUCAAAAACGGCCAAUAGUGACUCACAGACUCCACAGACAAGUCCCUUUGGCGCCACUCAGUGGGCAAAACUACUUUGUCUACUGUAAUGUAUAUUUGGGUCAUCUUUGGCGCCCCCUAAAACGUAAACCGUGGGGUGCAGCGUCAUGAUUUUUACAACUUUGAAUGGCCAUGGAGUGUAGAUUGGCCUGAGCAAAUUUGGUGUCAGUGGGACGAAAGCCUUAGGAGGACUUAGCGAAAUUCCAAUGUGUGCGAAUCGCCAAAAAAUGCAAAAUAGCCCUUUAACUGUACAUUUUACACUUACGUGCCCAUUGACUUUUUCAUAGAUCUUAUUGAGAUACACGUGAUUGUCAAAUUUUUUGUCAAUAUGACAAAGCGUAAAGGCGUGACACUCAACAAUGUGUAUUUUCACCUUUCGGGAUAAGAAAAAAUGGACUUUUUUCUCCUGCCAUGGGGGGGCGCUCUUUUGGGGAGUAAAAAUUUCUUCACAAAUGUGUUGAUGGCUGGACAUUGCAUCAUCCUAGAAAACUUGGAGGCCAGUAUGGAAAAAAGUAAAAAGUUAUAAGACUUCUCAGAAUGUGGAUUUUUGGGUUAUAUUUGGCGCCCCCUAGAACGUAAACCGUGGGGUGCAGCAAGAUGAUUUGUACAACUUUUAAUGGCCAUGGGGUGUAGAUUGGCCUGAGCAAAUUUGGUGCCGGUGGAAACAUAGCCUUUCGGAGGAGUUAGCGAAAUUCCAAUGUGUGCGGAUCGGCAAAAAAUGCAAAAUAGCCCUUUAACCGUACAUUUGACAGAUACAUGCCCUCUGACUUUUUCGUAGAUCUUAUUGAGAUACACGUGAUUGUCAAAUUUUGUGUCAAUAUGACAAAGCAUACAGGCGUGACACUCGACAAUGUGUAUUUUCACCUUAGGAGACAAGAAAAAAUGGUCCUUUUUCUCCUGCCAUUGGGGGGCGCUCUUUUGGGGAGUAAAAAUUCCUUCACAAAUGUGUUGAUGGCUGGACAUUGCAUCAUCCUAGAAAACUUGGAGGCCAGUGAGGACAAAAGUAAAAAGUUAUAAGACUUUUAAGAAUGUGGAUUUUUGGGUUAGCUUUGGCGCCCCCUAGAACGUAAACCGUGGGGUGCAGCGUCAUGAUUUGUACAACUUUUAAUGGCCAUGGGGGGUAGAUUGGCCUGCGCAAAUGUGGUGCCGGUCGAACGAAAGCCUUCGGAGGAGUUAGCGAAAUUCCAAUGUGUGCAGAUCUGCAAAAAAUGCAAAAUAACCCAUUAACCGUACAUUUGACAGAUACGCCCGCACUGACUUUUUUGUAGAUCUUAUUGAGAUACAUGUGUGUGUCAAUUUUUGUGUCAAUAUGACAAAGCGUACAGCCGUCAUGUGAAUUUUCACCUUAGGGGGCGCUAUGGAGCCAUUUUGCAUUUUAUUGUUUGGGCGACUUCAGAAUAUCGAAUUUUUCACCAGGCCCGGACGUCCUGCCAAAUUUCCUGAGUUUUCGCCAGUGGGAAGUGGGCCAUUUUCCAGUUUGAAGCGGAGGAAAAAUAAUAACGAAAGAAGGAAACAUGCAGGAACAAGAGGGCUCUCGCAGCUGCUUAGCAGCUACGCUCGGGCCCUAACUAGGGCCCCGUUGGGGCACUGGCGGGCCCGAGCCGUGUCACGCCGCCCCCAGCGCGACCGCCUCCCCCACCUGAUCGCGUCACACUCAAGGUCCAAAGAUGGUGUGCGCACUUGUUUGUGGUCAUUUACCAUUAUAAUGAACGGGAGGCGCAGUUUCUACCAAAACGCUCGCUGCAGAAAAACUCCAUGUCCUAUUUGAAAAAAGUCUGGACCAUGAGUGAGGGCACAAACACAGCUAAGAUAUAUCCAAAUGGCAAGUUGCUCCUCCUUUCGCUUUUGCCGAGAGAGCAGUGCGUUUGAGCCAUUGAAUGAUGAACAGGAAAAACUUGACUUUAUUCUCCUGCCAUGGGGGGGCGCUCUUUUAAAAAGAAAAAACUCCUUCACAAAUGUGUUGAUGGCUGGACAUUGCAUCAUCCUAGAAAACAUGGAGGCCAGUGAGGACAAAAAUAAAAAGUUAUAAGACUUUUAAAUAUGUGGAUUUUAGGGUUAUCUUUGGCGCCCCCUAGAACCUAAACCGUGGGGUGCAGCGUCAUGAUUUGAAUAACUUUUAAUGGCCAUGGGGUGUAGAUUGGCCUGAGCAAAUGUGGUGCCGGUGGAACGAAAGCCUUCGGAGGAAUUAGCGAAAUUCCAAUGUGUGCGAAUCUGCAAAAAAUGCGGAAUAACCCUUUAACCGUACAUUUUACAGAUACGUGGCCAUUGACUUUUUCGAAGAUCUUAUGUAAAUACACGUGUAUGUAAAAUUUUGUGUCAAUACGACAAAACAUACAGGCGUAGCACUCAACAAUGUGUAUUUUCACCUUACGGGACAAGAAAAAAUUGACUUUUUUCUCCUGCCAUGGGGGGGCGCUCUUUUGCCGAGUAAAAAUUCCUUCACAAAUGUGUUGAUGGCUGGACAUUGCAUCAUCCUAGAAAACUUGGAGGCCAGUGGGGACAAAAAUAAAAAGUUCUAAGACUUUUAAAUAUGUGGAUUUUACGGUUAUCUUUGGCUCCCCCUAGAACCUAAACCGUGGGGUGCAGCGUCAUGAUUUGAAUAACUUUUAAUGGCCAUGGGGUAUAGAUUGGCCUGAGCAAAUGUGGUGCCGGUGGAACGAAAGCCUUCGGAGGAGUUAGCAAAAUUCCAAUGUGUGCGGAUCGGCAAAAAAUGCGGAAUAACCCUUUAACCGUACAUUUGACAGAUACGCGCGCAUUGACUUUUUCGUAGAUCUUAUUGAGAUACAUGUGUGUGUCAAUUUUUGUGUCAUUUUGCCAAAGCGUACAGGUGUUACACUCAACAAUGUGUAUUUUCACCUUAGGGGACAAGAAAAAAUGGACUUUUUUCUCCUGCCAUGGGGGGGCGCUCUUUUGGGGAGUAAAAAUUCCUUCACAAAUGUGUUGAUGGCUGGACAUUGCAUCAUCCUAGAAAACUUGGAGGCCAGUGAGGGCAAAAAUAAAAAGUUAUAAGACUUUUAAAUAUGUGGAUCUUAGGGUUAUCUUUGGCGCCCCCUAGAACCUAAACCGUGGGGUGCAGCGUCAUGAUUUGAAUAACUUUUAAUGGCCAUGGGGUGUAGAUUGGCCUGAGCAAAUGUGGUGCCGGUGGAACGAAAGCCUUCGGAGGAGUUAGCGAAAUUCCAAUGUGUGCGGAUCGGCAAAAAAUGCGAAAUAACCCUUUAAACGUACAUUUGACAGAUACGCCCGCACUGACUUUUUUGUAGAUCUUAUUGAGAUACAUGUGUGUGUCAAUUUUUGUGUCAUUUUGACAAAGCGUACCGGCGUGACAGUGAAUAGUGUUAAUUUUCACCUUAGGGGGCGCUAUGGAGCCAUUUUGCAUUUUCUUGUUUGGGCGACUUCGGAAUAUCAAAUUUUUCACCAGGCCCGGUCGUCCUGCCAAAUUUCAUGAGUUUUCGCCAGUGGGAAGUGGGCCAUUUUCCAGUUCAAAGGGGAGGAAAAAUAAUAACUAGGACCCCGUUGGGGCACUGGCGGGCCCGAGCCGUGUCGCGUCCCCCCCCAACGUGCUGCCUCCCCGUCCCAUUUGUGUCCUCUGGCCAUCGCCCUCUCUGGUAACGCCCAUCACUGCAAAGACCCUUUUCCUUCAUCGGCGUUUGCUGUUCUUCCUGCCAGUGCGUGUUGCUUUCACUUACACUUGCCACAGCCAGCCUCGUGAGUGCCUAGCCUAUUGGAUAUCACUGUCACCUACACAGGACAGUCAUUACCUUUCUAUUAAUACUUUGUGUUUUAAUUUCACAUUAAUUUCCAUAUUGUAUAAACGACUGGAAAAAACUUGAGCCCCUGCCCCUGUAUAAUCAUGUGCAUGUCUCUGUUCUAGCUCCAAGGUGAAUCUUCACUGCUCAUGUUCUCCUCAGAAGCACUCACCUCACUCCCCUCAGGUUACUGUACACAUGCACCAACUGCCUGCUUCAGGUUUGGAUGGAGCUUCAUGGUUGUCUUUUGGAGAAAUGACCAGUCAAGUUGUGUUUGAAAUUUGAUUUUUUUCAGGGGCAAAAGGAGCCUCUGCAUUCUUGUCAAAUAUGUAAAUAGCAUGUUUUUGCAGGUGCUAAAAACCAGACUCUGAGUGUGUGUGUGUGUGUGUGUGUGUGCGUGUGUGUGUCUGUGUGUGCGUUCAAGUCACAUGACAUAUUUAACCGGAUGUAGCUGCAAGACGGAGCCUCGUUGACUCUCCGUUUCAACUUAUCUCAAAAGUGAGGACCUCAACCUAUAUACCAGUUUUUAAAUUGUGUUGGUAGGCCAAAUAAAACCAGAGUUAUGAUAAAUUAUGUCCGCGAUACCUUUUUUCUGCUUAUUUUGAUCACGUUCGGCGCUCAAUCGCGCUGUAUGAGACAGGAAAACAUAGCAUGCAGACAUUAGCGACAGCUCUUACAGGCGGAAAAGGCUUGCCAAAAAAAAAAAAACACACCACAACAUCUCUCCUAUUGGUGGAAAACUUCACCACAACAACCAAUCCAAAAUUAUAUGGUGACUGAUUGACAAGGGGCGGGCGCUUACGUUCUUCCUGCAACAUGAGAAGGGAGGGAGGGACUCUCAGCAGGGAUGCAGUCUGGGACACGUAGUUGCAAACCUAGCGACUUUGUUGUUAGAUUCAAUGACUUUUCAGACCCCCUAACGACUUUUUUUUAGAAAGAAAGGGACUUUUAUCGACUUCUUCUGGAGUUUAGAGACUCUGACAUGAAGCAGGCUUUCCUUACUGAGGAGUUAGCAACGCUGCUAAGGGUGCAGAGCCACACAUGCGCUCAGAGCUCUGCAUGGGAGACUGAAGCUGACAGAGCUGCAGCAGUUAGCAGGUUUCACCCUCAGAGACCACCAGGGGUUCAUGUUGAGGCAUUUUAAUUUUUUUUUUUUUUGUGCCAUAGACACUGUCAGCACAAUCUGCAGUUACACUAACAAAAAUGCUGCAAAAAACAAAGAAUUAUGGAAAAAUUACACAUGGACUGACAUACAGGAGGAUCUACACAAGUUUUUUACAUCAUGUUUUACAUCAUGCAUCAUUUACAUCAUGUUUUUUUGUAGUGGCAUAAAUAAAAAGUGACAUUUGUGAGACUAUACAGUGUUUUGUAAAUAAUUUUACAAAGAACGCCUGGGCCAUUGCCUGCAUUUUGAUGUAAAUAGAGGUAAAUCACUAUGUUCUUUGUUAAAAAUUUGCAUAUGUUUUGAAGUUUACAAUUUUUAUUUGAAGUUUAAGUUUUAAAAACAGUUCAUCACACAUAUUUGUGGUUUAAUUUCACAUUAAUUUCCAUAUUGUAUAAACGACUGGAAAAAACUUGAGCCCCUGCCCCUGUAUAAUCAUGUGCACGUCCCUGUUCUAGCUCCAAGGUGAAUCUUCACUGCUCAUGUUCUCCUCAGAAAUAGUCACCUCACUCCCCUCAGGUUACUGUACACAUGCACCAACUAUCUGCUUCAGGUUUGAAAUGGAGCUUCAUGGUUGUCUUUUGGAGAAAUGAACAGUCAAGUUGUGUUUGAAAUUUGAUUUUUUUCAGGGGCAAAAGGAAGCCUCUGCAUUCUUGUCAAAUAUGUAAACAGCAUGUUUUUGCAGGUGCUAAAAAACAGACUCUGAGUGUGUGUGUGUGUGUGUGUGUGUGUGUGUGUGUGUGUAUGUUGGCGUGUGUGUAUAUGUGUGUGUAUCCUGCAGUACUCUGUACUCCUGCAGUGGCCAAAAAGACUUUUAAGAAUGUGGAUUUUUGGGUCAUCUUUGGCGCCCCCUAGAACUGCAGUACUCUGUACUCCUGCAGUGGCCAAAAUGACUUUUAAGAAUGUGGAUUUUUGGGUCAUCUUUGGCGCCCCCUAGAACGUAAACCGUGGGGUGCAGCGUCAUGAUUUUUACAACUUUGAAUGGGGGGGCGCUCUUUUGGGGAGUAAAAAUUCCUUCACAAAUGUGUUGAUGGCUGGACAUUGCAUCAUCCUAGAAAACUUGGAGGCCAGUGAGGACAAAAAUAAAAAGUUAUAAAACAUUUAAGAAUGUGGAUUUUUGGGUUAUUUUUGGCGCCCCCUAGAACCUAAACCAUGGGGUGCAGCAUCAUGAUUUGAAUAACUUUUAAUGGCCAUGGGGUGUAGAUUGGCCUGAGCAAAUAUGGUGCCGGUGGAACGAAAGCCUUCGGAGGAGUUAGCGAAAUUCCAAUGUGUGCGUAUCGGCAAAAAAUGCGGAAUAACCCUUUAACUAUACAUUUGACAGAUACGCGCGCAUGGACUUUUUUGUAGAUCUUAUUGAGUUACAUGUGUGUGUCAAUUUUUGUGUCAUUUUGACAAAGCGUAUAGGCGUGACACUCAACAAUGUGUAUUUUCACCUUAGGGGACAAGAAAAAAUGGACUUUUUUCUCCUGCCAUGGGGGGGCGCUCUUUUGGGGAGUAAAAAUUCCUUCACAAAUGUGUUGAUGGCUGGACAUUGCAUCAUCCUAGAAAACUUGGAGGCCAGUGAGGACAAAAAUAAAAAGUUAUAAGACUUUUAAAUAUGUGGAUUUUAGUGUUAUCUUUGGCGCCCCCUAGAACCUAAACCUUGGGGUGCAGCGUCAUGAUUUUGAUAACUUUUAAUGGCCACGGGGUGUAGAUUGGCCUGAGCAAAUGUGGUGCCGGUGGAACGAAAGCCUUCGGAGGAGUUAGCGAAAUUCCAAUGUGUGCGGAUCGGAAAAAAAUGCGAAAUAACCCUUUAACCGUACAUUUGACAGAUACAGCCGCACUGACUUUUUUGUAGAUCUUAUUGAGAUACAUAUGUGUGUCAAUUUUUGUGUCAAUAUGACAAAGCGUACAGGCGUGACAGUCAAUAGUGUGAAUUUCUACCUUAGGGGGCGCUAUGGAGCCAUUUUGCAUUUUAUUGUUUGGGCGACUUCAGAAUAUCAAAUUUUUCACCAGGCCCGGUCGUCCUGCCAAAUUUCAUGAGUUUUCGCCAGUGGGAAGUGGGCCAUUUUCCAGUUCAAAGGGGAGGAAAAAGAAAAAAGAAAGAAAGAAACAAAGAAAAACCACUUGGGGAAUAAUAGGGCCUACGCCCGGCUGCUCUGCAGCUGGCUCGGGCCCUAAGAAAGAAAGAAACAAAGACUAGGACCCCGUUGGGGCACUGGCGGGCCCGAGCCGUGUCGCGUCCCCCCCCCCCCAACGUGCUGCCUCCCCGUCCCAUUUGUGUCCUCUGGCCAUCGCCCUCUCUGGUAACGCCCAUCACUGCAAAGACCCUUUUCCUUCAUCGGCGUUUGCUGUUCUUCCUGCCAGUGCGUGUUGCUUUCACUUACACUUGCCACAGCCAGCCUCGUGAGUGCCUAGCCUAUUGGAUAUCACUGUCACCUACACAGGACAGUCAUUACCUUUCUAUUAAUACUUUGUGUUUUAAUUUCACAUUAAUUUCCAUAUUGUAUAAACGACUGGAAAAAACUUGAGCCCCUGCCCCUGUAUAAUCAUGUGCAUGUCUCUGUUCUAGCUCCAAGGUGAAUCUUCACUGCUCAUGUUCUCCUCAGAAGCACUCACCUCACUCCCCUCAGGUUACUGUACACAUGCACCAACUGCCUGCUUCAGGUUUGGAUGGAGCUUCAUGGUUGUCUUUUGGAGAAAUGACCAGUCAAGUUGUGUUUGAAAUUUGAUUUUUUUCAGGGGCAAAAGGAGCCUCUGCAUUCUUGUCAAAUAUGUAAAUAGCAUGUUUUUGCAGGUGCUAAAAACCAGACUCUGAGUGUGUGUGUGUGUGUGUGUGUGUGUGUGUGUGUGUGUGUGCGUGUGUGUGUUAUUGUGUGUGCGUUCAAGUCACAUGACAUAUUUAACCGGAUGUAGCUGCAAGACGGAGCCUCGUUGACUCUCCGUUUCAACUUAUCUCAAAAGUGAGGACCUCAACCUAUAUACCAGUUUUUAAAUUGUGUUGAUAGGCCAAAUGAAACCAGAGUUAUGAUAAAUUAUGUCCGCGAUACUUUUUUUCUGCUUAUUUUGAUCACGUUCGGCGCUCGAUCGCGCUGUAUGAGACAGGAAAACAUAGCAUGCAGACAUUAGCGACAGGUCUUACAGGCGGAAAAGGCUUGCCAAAAGAAAAAAAAAACACACCACAACAUCUCUCCUAUUGGUGGAAAACUUCACCACAACAACCAAUCCAAAAUUAUAUGGUGACUGAUUGACAAGGGGCGGGCGCUUACGUUCUUCCUGCAACAUGAGAAGCGAGGGAGGGACUCUCAGCAGGGAUGCAGUCUGGGACACGUAGUUGCAAACCUAGCGACUUUGUUGUUAGAUUCAAUGACUUUUCAGACCCCCUAACGACUUUUUUUUAGAAAGAAAGGGACUUUUAUCGACUUCUUCUGGAGUUUAGAGACUCUGACAUGAAGCAGGCUUUCCUUACUGAGGAGUUAGCAACGCUGCUAAGGGUGCAGAGCCACACAUGCGCUCAGAGCUCUGCAUGGGAGACUGAAGCUGACAGAGCUGCAGCAGUUAGCAGGUUUCACCCUCAGAGACCACCAGGGGUUCAUGUUGAGGCAUUUUAAAUUUUUUUUUUUUGUGCCAUAGACACUGUCAGCACAAUCUGCAGUUACACUAACAAAAAUGCCGCAAAAAACAAAGAAUUAUGGAAAAAUUACACAUGGACUGACAUAGAGGAGGAUCUACACAAGUUUUUUACAUCAUGUUUUACAUCAUGCAUCAUUUACAUCAUGUUUUUUUGUAGUGGCAUAAAUAAAAAGUGACAUUUGUGAGACUAUACAGUGUUUUGUAAAUAAUUUUACAAAGAACGCCUGGGCCAUUGCCUGCAUUUUGAUGUAAAUAGAGGUAAAUCACUAUGUUCUUUGUUAAAAAUUUGCAUAUGUUUUGAAGUUUACAAUUUUUAUUUGAAGUUUAAGUUUUAAAAACAGUUCAUCACACAUAUUUGUGGUUUUCACAGUAAAAAUGUUACUUUUUUCCACUCGGAUUUUAUGUUUUAUGUGUGAAUUUGGGUCCAUUGUGUAAAUUCAGUAUGUCAACAUGAUAAAAUAACUGUAAAUUCGCACAGGUGAGGUUGUGCUGAAAAAAAUGAUACCAGGCAAGGCACGUGAUUGUCAAAUUUUGUGUCAAUAUGACAAAGCGUAUAGGCGUGAAUCUCAACAAUAUGUAUUUUCACCUUAGGGGACAAGAAAAAAUGGACUUUUUUCUCCUGCCAUGGGGGGCGCUCUUUUGGGGAGUAAAAAUUCCUUCACAAAUGUGUUGAUGGCUGGACAUUGCAUCAUCCUAGAAAACUUGGAGGCCAGUGAGGACAAAAAUAAAAAGUUAUAAGACUUUGAAAUAUGUGGAUUUUAGGGUUAUCUUUGGCGCCCCCUAGAACCUAAACCGUGGGGUGCAGCGUCAUGAUUUGAAUAACUUUUAAUGGCCAUGGGGUGUAGAUUGGCCUGAGCAAAUGUGGUGCCGGUGGAACGAAAGCCUUAGGAGGAGUUAGCCACAUUCCAAUGUGUGCGGAUCGGCAAAAAAUGCGGAAUAACCCUUUAACCGUACAUUUGACAGAUACGCGCGCAUUGACUUUUUCGUAGAUCUUAUUGAGUUACAUGUGUGUGUCAAUUUUUGUGUCAUUUUGACAAAGCGUAUAGGCGUGACACUCAACAGUGUGAAUUUCCACCUUAGGGGGCGCUAUGGAGCCAUUUUGCAUUUUCUUGUUUGGGCGACUUCGGAAUAUCAAAUUUUUCACCAGGCCCGGUCAUCCUGCCAAAUUUCAUGAGUUUUCGCCAGUGGGAAGUGGGCCAUUUUCCAGUUCAAAGGGGAGGAAAAAGAAGAAACUAGGGCCCCGGUGGGGCACUGUCGGGCCCGAGCCGCGUCGUGCCGCCCCCAGUGUGACCGCCUCCCCCUCCCGAUCGCGUCACACUCAAGGUCCAAAGAUGGUGUGCGCACUUGUCUGUGGUCAUUUCCCAUUAUAAUGAAUGGGAGGCGCAGUUUCUACCAAAACACUCGCUGCAGACAAACUUCAUGUCCUAUUUGAAAAAAGUCUGGACCAUGAGUGAGGGCACAAACACAGCUGGGAUAUAUCCAAAUGGCAGGUUGCUCCUCGUUACGGUGUUGCCUGGAGAGCGAUGCGAUUGAGCCAUUGAGCGAUGGGCAGGAAAAACUUGACUUUUUCUCCUGCCAUGGGGGGGGGAGAAUGUGGAUUCUUUUAAGAAUGUGGAUUUUUUGGUCAUCUUUGGCGCCCCCUAGAACGUAAACCGUGGGGUGCAGCGUCAUGAUUUUUACAACUUUGAAUGGCCAUGGGGUGUAGAUUGGCCUGAGCAAAUUUGGUUUCAGUGGGACGAAAGCCUUAGGAGGAGUUAGCCACAUUCCAAUGUGUGCGAAUCGGCAAAAAAUGCAAAAUAGCCCUCUAACUGUACAUUUGACAGAUACGCACCCAUUGACUUUUUCGUAGAUCUUAUUGAGAUACACGUGAUUGUCAAAUUUUGUGUCAAUAUGACAAAGCGUACAGGUGUCACACUCAACAAUGUGAAUUUUCACCUUACGGGACAAGAAAAAAUUGACUUUUUUCUCCUGCCAUGGGGGGGCGCUCUUUUGGGGAGUAAAAAUUCCUUCACAAAUGUGUUGAUGGCUGGACAUUGCAUCAUCCUAGAAAACUUGGAGGCCAGUGAGGACAAAAAUAAAAAGUUAUAAGACUUUGAAAUAUGUGGAUUUUAGGGUUAUCUUUGGCGCCCCCUAGAACCUAAACCGUGGGGUGCAGCGUCAUGAUUUGAAUAACUUUUAAUGGCCAUGGGGUGUAGAUUGGCCUGAGCAAAUGUGGUGCCGGUGGAACGCCAGCCUUCGGAGGAGUUAGCGAAAUUCCAAUGUGUGCGGAUCAGCAAAAAAUGCGGAAUAACCCUUUAACCGUACAUUUGACAGAUACGCGCGCGUUGACUUUUUCGUAGAUCUUAUUGAGAUAAAUGUGUGUGUCAAAUUUUGUGUCAAUAUGACAAAGCGUACAGGCGUGACACUCAACAAUGUGUAUUUUCACCUUAGGGGACAAGAAAAAAUGGACUUUUUUCUCCUGCCAUGGGGGGCGCUCUUUUGGGGAGUAAAAAUUCCUUCACAAAUGUGUUGAUGGCUGGACAUUGCAUCAUCCUAGAAAACUUGGAGGCCAGUGAGGCAAAAAUAAAAAGUUAUAAGACUUUUAAAUAUGUGGAUUUUAGGGUUAUCUUUGGCGCCCCCUAGAACCUAAACCUUGGGGUGCAGCGUCAUGAUUUGAAUAACUUUUAAUGGCCAUGGGGUGUAGAUUGGCCUGAGCAAAUGUGGUGCCGGUGGAACGAAAGCCUUCGGAGGAGUUAGCGAAAUUCCAAUGUGUGCGGAUCGGCAAAAAAUGCGAAAUAACCCUUUAACCGUACAUUUGACAGAUACGCCCGCACUGACUUUUUUGUAGAUCUUAUUGAGAUACAUGUGUGUGUCAAUUUUUGUGUCAUUUUGACAAAGCGUACAGGCGUGACAGUCAAUAGUGUGAAUUUUCACCUUAGGGGGCGCUAUGGAGCCAUUUUGCAUUUUAUUGUUUGGGCGACUUCAGAAUAUCAAAUUUUUCACCAGGCCCGGUCGUCCUGCCAAAUUUCAUGAGUUUUCGCCAGUGGGAAGUGGGCCAUUUUCCAGUUCAAAGGGGAGGAAAAAAAAAUAACUAGGGCCCCGUUGGGGCACUGGCGGGCCCGAGCCGUGUCGCGCCCCCCAACGCGCUGCCUCCCCGUCCCAUUCGCGUCCUCUGGCCAUCGCCCUCUCUGGUAACGCCCAUCACUGCAAAGACCCUUUUCCUUCAUUGGCGUUUGCUGUUCUUCCUGCCAGUGCGUGUUGCUUUCACUUACACUUGCCACAGCCAGCCUCGUGAGUGCCUAGCCUAUUGGAUAUCACUGUCACCUACACAGGACAGUCAUUACCUUUCUAUUAAUACUUUGUUUUUUAAUUUCACAUUAAUUUCCAUAUUGUAUAAACGACUGGAAAAAACUUGAGCCCCUGCCCCUGUAUAAUCAUGUGCACGUCCCUGUUCUAGCUCCAAGGUGAAUCUUCACUGCUCAUGUUCUCCUCAGAAGCAGUCACCUCACUCCCCUCAGGUUACUGUACACAUGCACCAACUGCCUGCUUCAGGUUUGGAUGGAGCUUCAUGGUUGUCUUUUGGAGAAAUGAGCAGUCAAGUUGUGUUUGAAAUUUGAUUUUUUUCAGAGGCAAAAGAAAGCCUCUGCAUUCUUGUCAAAUAUGUAAAUAGCAUGUGUUUGCAGGUGCUAAAAAACAGACUCUGAGUGUGUGUGCGUGUGUGUGUGUAUGUCUGUGUGUGUGUGUAUCCCGCAGUACUCUGAGAAGAAUAAUAAGCAUAUUUCUGAGGUGAAUUUUGAAGAUUCAUCUGAGAGUUAGGUUUGAUUCGAUUCGAUUGACGCUCCCCAGCGUUCAAGUCACAUGACAUAUUUAACCGGAUGUAGCUGCAAGACGGAGCCUCGUUGAUUCUCCGUUUCAACCUAUCUUAAAAGUGAGGACCUCAAACUAUAUACCAGUUUUUAAAUUGUGUUGAUAGGCCAAAUAAAACCAGAGUUAUGAUAAAUUAUGUCCGCAAUACUUUUUUUCUGCUUAUUUUG